GAAAUGCGAUAAGUAAUGUGAAUUGCAGAAUUCAGUGAAUCAUCGAAUCUUUGAACGCACAUUGCGCCCGCCAGUAUUCUGGCGGGCAUGCCUGUUCGAGCGUCAUUUCAACCAUCAAGCCCCCGGCUUGUGUUGGGGACCUGCGGCUGCCCGCAGGCCCUGAAAAACAGUGGCGGGCUCGCUGUCACACCGAGCGUAGUAGCAUACAUUCUCGCUCAGGGCGUGCUGCGGGUUCCGGCCGUUAAACGACCUUCAUAACCCAAGGUUGACCUCGGAUCAGGCAGGAAGACCCGCUGAACUUAAGC
rnacentral:misc_RNA from 1 species